rnacentral:rRNA from 1 species
AAGGCGAGGCCGAAAGGCGUAGUCGAUGGGAAACGGGUUAAUAUUCCCGUACUUGGUGUUACUGCGAAGGGGGGACGGAGAAGGCUAUGUUGGCCGGGCGACGGUUGUCCCGGUUUAAGCGUGUAGGCUGGUUUUCCAGGCAAAUCCGGAAAAUCAAGGCUGAGGCGUAACGACGAGGCACUACGGUGCUGAAGCAACAAAUGCCCUGCUUCCAGGAAAAGCCUCUAAGCAUCAGGUAACAUCAAAUCGUACCCCAAACCGACACAGGUGGUCAGGUAGAGAAUACCAAGGCGCUUGAGAGAACUCGGGUGAAGGAACUAGGCAAAAUGGUGCCGUAACUUCGGGAGAAGGCACGCUGACACGUAGGUGAAGUGAUUUACUCAUGGAGCUGAAGUCAGUCGAAGAUACCAGCUGGCUGCAACUGUUUAUUAAAAACACAGCACUGUGCAAACACGAAAGUGGACGUAUACGGUGUGACGCCUGCCCGGUGCCGGAAGGUUAAUUGAUGGGGUCAGCGCAAGCGAAGCUCCUGAUCGAAGCCCCGGUAAACGGCGGCCGUAACUAUAACGGUCCUAAGGUAGCGAAAUUCCUUGUCGGGUAAGUUCCGACCUGCACGAAUGGCGUAAUGAUGGCCAGGCUGUCUCCACCCGAGACUCAGUGAAAUUGAACUCGCUGUGAAGAUGCAGUGUACCCGCGGCAAGACGGAAAGACCCCGUGAACCUUUACUAUAGCUUGACACUGAACAUUGAGCCUUGAUGUGUAGGAUAGGUGGGAGGCUUUGAAGUGUGGACGCCAGUCUGCAUGGAGCCGACCUUGAAAUACCACCCUUUAAUGUUUGAUGUUCUAACGUGGACCCGUGAUCCGGGUUGCGGACAGUGUCUGGUGGGUAGUUUGACUGGGGCGGUCUCCUCCUAAAGAGUAACGGAGGAGCACGAAGGUUGGCUAAUCCUGGUCGGACAUCAGGAGGUUAGUGCAAUGGCAUAAGCCAGCUUGACUGCGAGCGUGACGGCGCGAGCAGGUGCGAAAGCAGGUCAUAGUGAUCCGGUGGUUCUGAAUGGAAGGGCCAUCGCUCAACGGAUAAAAGGUACUCCGGGGAUAACAGGCUGAUACCGCCCAAGAGUUCAUAUCGACGGCGGUGUUUGGCACCUCGAUGUCGGCUCAUCACAUCCUGGGGCUGAAGUAGGUCCCAAGGGUAUGGCUGUUCGCCAUUUA